rnacentral:rRNA from 1 species
CUGAAGAUUGAAGCUUGCUUCAUGAUUCAGAUUUUGGUGAGUGGCGGACGGGUGAGUAACACGUGGGUAACCUGCCCAAAAGUGGGGGAUAACAUUUGGAAACAAGUGCUAAUACCGCAUAACAACUACUUUCACAUGAUCGUAGCUUGAAAGAUGGCUCUGCUAUCGCUUUUGG